GACGAACGCUGGCGGCGUGCCUAAUACAUGCACGUCGAGCGGACGAUUCGAAAGCUUGCUUUUGAAUCGUUAGCGGCGGACGGGUGAGUAACACGUGGGCAACCUGCCCUGUAGACGGGGAUAACACCGAGAAAUCGGUGCUAAUACCGGAUAACACGAAAUGUCGCAUGACGUUUCGUUGAAAGGCGGCGCAAGCUGCCGCUACAGGAUGGGCCCGCGGCGCAUUAGCUAGUUGGUGAGGUAACGGCUCACCAAGGCGACGAUGCGUAGCCGACCUGAGAGGGUGAUCGGCCACACUGGGACUGAGACACGGCCCAGACUCCUACGGGAGGCAGCAGUAGGGAAUCUUCCGCAAUGGACGAAAGUCUGACGGAGCAACGCCGCGUGAGCGAAGAAGGCCUUCGGGUCGUAAAGCUCUGUUGUUAGGGAAGAACAAGUAACGUAGUAACUGACGUUACUAUGACGGUACCUAACGAGAAAGCCACGGCUAACUACGUG
rnacentral:rRNA from 1 species